CCUAGGAGCUUUGCUUUCUUCUCCUUACUUUCUCGUCCUCGGCCCUACCAAACUCUGUGCACGAGUCUUUCUUGGGAGUUUGCUUCGUCGCCGUUCAUCCAGGUUAGCGUUUUUUCAAUGGAGACUCAAAUCCAGGAUCUCCGAUCAAUCAAUCAGGUGCAUCCAAACCUAUUUUACUCUUCAUCGUUUUUCUUUUCCUUCAUUGUGUACAUCCUUGUGAUCAAUCUUGGUUAUUGUUCCAGGGUUAACCCAGAUUUAAUUGUCUAGGGUUUGUAAAAUUCCUAAUUGUGCAAAUUGCGAUCAUUUUUUGUAUCUGUUCCAUGGUUAAGCGAGAUUCUAUUGUCUAGGGUUUGUGAAAUUUCUAAUUGUUCAAUUGUGAUAAUGUUUGGUAUCUGUUUCAUGGUUAGGGGAGAUUUUAUUGUUUAGGGUUUGUGAAAUUCCUAAUUUUUGCAUAUUGUGAUCGUUUUUGGUAUCUGUUCCAUGGUUAUCCCUGGUCUUAUUGUGUAUGGUUUGUGACAUUUGUAAUUUGAAAAUUGUCUAUGUGAUUUGAUUUGUUUGUGGGUUCAUGUUCUUCGUUAGAUUCUUUUCAAGUUGCUGUUAAUUUUGAGUAUGGUCUAUGAAUCUGUUUCAUCUUCUUGAUUUCGUUAUUUAGAAUUUGAUGUGAUUGUCAUUUCUUCUUUUGCUAUCUCUUAAAUUGUUUGUUGCAUGUGGUUUGUCUAUUUCAUCAAUUUUUGGGAUUUUAUAAUCAUUAUAAAGAUUGUCUUCUUAAUUACCUUUUCUUAUAUUUAUGAAUGAUGGGUUUGUUUUUGUGAACGAUUGUCUAGGUAUGGGGUUUUUACUUAAUCUACUUUCUCCAUGAUGAUGUGAUUGACAGGGUUCUUUCAGGAAAUACAGAGUAUAGACCCAGCUUCUCCUAUUCAACUUUUGGAUUUCCAAUUUCAUUCUCUCCUAUUCAACUUUUGCAUUCCGAUUUCCAUUUUGAUUCAGUAAUCUCUUUGGAUUGUUUGGGCUGAAUCUAGCAAUUUUUAAUUUUAUUCUGCAUUCAGAAUCAAAAUUUAUAGACCCAGCUUCUCCUAUUCAACUUUUGGAUUCCCAAUUUGAUGUUACUAGGGAAUUCUCUUCUAGGUAGUCUAUUUGAUGAGUGGUGAUGUGAUUGAUAGGAAUUGAUUGAUAGCUUCUUGGUGAUUUAUUUGCAUUUUGAUGAAAGCUUUUGUUAAUCAACUCACUUGCAUUUGAAUUCUUUAUUGGUUAUGCAAAGAGUGCUGUAUAUUUCGCCUGUUGCAUAGAAGUAGAGCUGAUUGUCAUAAAUUUUUGUGCUUCUUUGAUAAAGGAAUAUGCUUUUGCCACUUCCAAUUCCAUUCUCUCUUGUUUAAGUCUUGCAUUCCCAUUUCAAUUCUGAUUCAAUGAUCCCAUUGAUGGAUCUUUCCCCUUUUUUUUUAUGCUAUGUCCAUCAAAUCCAUUAAGUUUACCUAAAAUGAAUUGCUGGUUGCAUGUGGGUUGUGAGAAUCAUUAUCAAAGAAUUGGUUUUGUAGCUAAUGUAUUCUAUCGGUGGUUAUGUGAUUGACAAAUUUUUAUUAAUGUUUCUGUAUACUUUUUUUUCCUCAUUCAUUUGCUGUUUCCAAUGUAUGCCUACUUAAGACAUUUACCAACUCUCAUUGCCAUGAGUACAAUGAUUGUUUGAGGUAGUUGAUGACUACCUUCCCUAUGGUGUAAUGACAUGUAGGUGCACUGAAGCAGGUAUAGUUUGAUAUCUCAUUUUUUGGUUCCUAUUUCUUGAUUUCUUGAAAGUUUUACUUGUUUUUGCUGUUUUUGUGUUGGUUCAGGUUUUGCCCCUCUCAUUAGUUGUCUCUAUGGCAUUGAAUGGAGAUGGAUUUGGACUCAUAUUUUGUUUUUCCUCCAUUUUCAUAUUCAAUUUGAAUUCAAAAAGGAAUUCCCUCCUCCAAAAACAUAUAUCUUCCGUUGAAGAUCUCUUCUGCACCGAUAAUGAUGUUCUGCCAUACAUUCUUCAUUGAAAAUGUGGGCAUCCCUAUCAAGGUAUGGGGUUUCUAUCUAUUUAGUCAGUGGUGAUGUGAUUGAUAGGAAUGAAGUGGCUUUCUCACAAUCAGAUGGCAUCACUCCACUGUUUGUGUUACUAGAAAAUUCUCUUCUAGAUAGUCUAUUUGAUGAGUGGUGAUGUGAUUGAUAGGAAUUGGUUGAUAGCUUCUUGGUGAUUUAUUUGCAUUUUGAUGAAACAUUUUCUUAGUCAACUCACUUGCAUUUGAAUUCUUUAUUGGUUAUGCAAAGAGUGCUCUAGAUUUCGCCUGUUGCAUAGAAGUAGAGCUGAUUGUCAUGAAUUUUUGUGCUUCUUUGAUAAAGGAAUAUGCUUUUGCCACUCCCAUUCAAGUUUUUCCCUCCCAAUUCCAUUCUCUCAUGUUCAAGUCUUGUAUUCCCAUUUCAAUUUUGAUUCAAUAAUCCCAUUGAUGAAUCUUUUUUUUUUUUAAGCUAUGUCCAUCAAAUCCAUUAAGUUUACCUAAAAUGAAUUGCUGGUUGCAUGUGGGUUGUGAGAAUCAUUAUCAAAAAAUUGGUUUUGUAGCUAAUGUAUUCUAUCGGUGGUUAUGUGAUUGACAGAAAUUGAUGUAUAGCCUGGUCAUUUAUUUAUUUUUUAAGUUCAACUGAAUUUCAUUACAUUUUUUUGUCCUUUGUGUAAAAAUUAUUUUAUAUAUCAGCUGUUGGAUGGACAUAUAGCUCUUUGGCCUGAACUUAAGAGGUUCAUUGAGAAAAGAAUGGCCUUCUGCACGUAAAAUGGCUUCAUGGUAUUGUUUAUCUAACUAGCACAUCUCUUUAUUGAAAGAAAAAUCUAUUCAGCAGCUGCUCUUCCCAUGAAAAUGUCUUCUGCACACAUAAUAAGGUUGUGCUAUAUAUUCUUCAUUGGAAAUUUGGCAAUCAUUAUCAAGGUAUGAGGUUUCAAUCUCACCCAUUUCCUGAAUGUUGAUGUGAUUGACAGAUUUUUAUUGAUGUUUUUGUAUACUUUUUUUUCCCAUUCAUUUGUUGUUUCCAAUGUAUCCCUACCUAAGACAUUUACCAACUCUCAUUGCCAUGAGUACAAUGAUUGUUUGGGGUAGUUCAUGACUGCCUUCCCUAUGGUGUAAUGACAUCUAGGUGCACUGUAGCAGGUAUGGUGUGAUAUCUCAUUUUUUGGUCCCUAUUUCUUGAUUUUUUGAAAGUUUCACUUGUUUUUGCUAUUUUUGUGUUGGUUCAGGUUUUGCCCCUCUCAUUAGUUGUCUCUAUGGCAUUGAAUGGAGAUGCAUAUGAACUCAUGUUUUGUUUUCCCUCCUUUUCCAUAUUCAAUUUGAAUUCAAAAAGGUGAGCCUAAAGCCCUUGAUUUUUUCUAUAAAAGGAUGGUUGGUGAUCUACAUUCAAUGCACAAACAUUCUGCUGUGUUCUAUUUCCUCCUAAGCUCUGUCAACAUCAGAAUUUUUCUGUUUACAUUUGAUCUAUUUCAUCAACUCUAUUUACCUCCUUUGUUUCUUUCUUUUUUUUUUUUUUUUUUUUGCAAUUCCAGCUAUUACAUUGUUUGACGUUCAUAUUCUGUGUUCUUGAUAAUACUGCUACUAAUAAUGUUGCCAUCACCUUUCACCAAUACGGCUUUAGAUUUGGGACCAUGGUCUAUGUGUUUGCUUAGUAUUACAUAUUUCCUUACGUAUGUAGCAUAAAACGUGAAUGUAUUUGAUGUCAAAACUCUACCAUAUAGGCUAGUAAUAAUUAAGUUGCCUAAUAAAACAACGGUUUUCAACUUUCA